GGACGAACCCUUGGAGAGAUCCGUGGCUUAUGCGCACGGACGCCGAAGGCGCAAAAGUGAAAUAAUUGUUUCACCUCAAACGCUCAGGCAAAAGGACAGGGGCAAAAGA
rnacentral:ncRNA from 2 species